AAAUGAAAUAACAUAAGCAAAAUCGAAUCGACAGAUCAAGUAGAAUUUAUGAACUGAAUUCAAUAUUUUCAACACGAAAAACAAAGAUAUACAUAAAAUUUAUUAUUAAAAAUACUCGAAUAUGAUAAAAAUAUGCUUUAAGACUAGCGUGAGUUUCAGAUUCUGAAUCCGCCCAGUAGAUUGAUGAGGUAAAGAGCAUUACUUGUAACCUUUGCAACAUUAGAAAUCCUUCUCUUCACAUCAUACCUAACUUUUCCAUCAAUUUCUUUGAAACCAUCAAGACAAGUAUCAUCAUUUGUCAAAGAAGCACUAAUCCAAGUCUCCAAAUUACUCAUUUGGAACCUAAAGCCAAUCCCUUUAUGCAAGUGUUUUAGCUCAAAAAGUGACUUUCUAAGCUCAUGUAUAGAGUCACCUAUUUGCUCUAUACAAUCAACAAGUGCCCCUUUUUCUCUUUUGCUAUUCACUUUGAGAUUUUUGAGGAAUUUUGAUGCUUUGUUGGAUCUUGAAAUACUCACAUUUAGUGAUGCUUUUGCUAAGUCUUUUGGUGUUUUUAUGGUUGAGUAUGAUGAGAGGGUUCUAAUGCAAAUUUUAGGGUAACUUGCUUUGGUGCAAGAUGUGUAAACAAGAUGAUUUGUGGAAUAUGAAGUUAUUGUGUUUUUUCCACUUGUGAAGUGAGAGAAAUGGAGAAUGAGGAGGAGAAGGGGAAGAAAACGAA
rnacentral:misc_RNA from 1 species